rnacentral:rRNA from 1 species
GAUGAACGCUGGCGGCGUGCCUAAUACAUGCAAGUCGAGCGAACAGACGAGGAGCUUGCUCCUCUGACGUUAGCGGCGGACGGGUGAGUAACACGUGGAUAACCUACCUAUAAGACUGGGAUAACUUCGGGAAACCGGAGCUAAUACCGGAUAACAUGUUGAACCGCAUGGUUCAACAGUGAAAGACGGUCUUGCUGUCACUUAUAGAUGGAUCCGCGCCGCAUUAGCUAGUUGGUAAGGUAACGGCUUACCAAGGCAACGAUGCGUAGCCGAACUGAGAGGGUGAUCGGCCACACUGGAACUGGGACACGGUCCAGACUCCUACGGGAGGCAGCAGUAGGGAAUCUUCCGCAAUGGGCGAAAGCCUGGCGGAGCAACGCCGCGUGAGUGAAGAAGGUCUUCGGAUCGUAAAACUCUGUUAUUAGGGAAGAACAAAUGUGUAAGUAACUAUGCACGUCUUGACGGUACCUAAUCAGAAAGCCACGGCUAACUACGUG